UGGAGGAUAAUCUCGGGAAACUGAGGAUAAUACUCCAUAGGUCUAGGAAGCUGGAAUGCAUCUAGGCUUAAAGCUCUGGCGCCCUAGGAUGAGUCUGCGGACUAUCAGGUAGUAGUCAGGGUAAUGACCUGACUAGCCUACGACGGAUACGGGUUGUGAGAGCAAUAACCCGGAGACGAUAUCUGAGACACGAUAUCGGGCCCUACGGGGCGCAGCAGGCGCGAAAACUUCACACUGUGCGAAAGCGCGAUGAGGGAAUCCCA
rnacentral:rRNA from 1 species